CCCUUAGAUGUUCUGGGCCGCACGCGCGCUACACUGAUGCAUUCAACGAGUCUAAAACCUGGUCUGAUAGGGCUGGGUAAUCUUUUGAAAGUGCAUCGUGAUUGGGAUAGAUGAUUGCAAUUCUUCAUCUUCAACGAGGAAUGCCUAGUAAACGCAAGUCAUCAGCUUGCAUUGAUUACGUCCCUGCCCUUUGUACACACCGCCCGUCGCUCCUACCGAUUGAAUGAUCCGAUGAAUACCAUGGAUUGAGAGUUCGAACAGGUUCUCCUGUUUCAGCUUCUCGGGAAGUGGAGUAAAUCUUAUCAUUUAGAGGAAGGAGAAGUCGUAACA
rnacentral:rRNA from 1 species